GUCCAGGAUGAAACCUAAUCUGAGUGGACA
rnacentral:piRNA from 1 species